rnacentral:rRNA from 1 species
CGACGUAGGUAACCUGCCUUGUAGCGGGGGAUAACUAUUGGAAACGAUAGCUAAUACCGCAUAACAAUGGAUGACACAUGUCAUUUAUUUGAAAGGGGCAAUUGCUCCACUACAAGAUGGACCUGCGUUGUAUUAGCUAGUAGGUGAGGUAACGGCUCACCUAGGCGACGAUAUAUAGCCGACCUGAGAGGGUGAUCGGCCACACUGGGACUGAGACACGGCCCAG